AUUGAACGCUGGCGGCAUGCCUUACACAUGCAAGUCGAACGGUAACAGGUCUUCGGGUGCUGACGAGUGGCGAACGGGUGAGUAAUACAUCGGAACGUACCCGGUCGUGGGGGAUAACGCAGCGAAAGCUGUGCUAAUACCGCAUGCGAUCUGAGGAUGAAAGCGGGGGAUCGUCGAGCAUCGCGCGGCCUCGGCGGCCGAUGGCAGAUUAGGUAGUUGGUGGGAUAAAGGCGUACCAAGCCGACGAUCUGUAGCUGGUCUGAGAGGAUGAGCAGCCACACUGGGACUGAGACACGGCCCAGACUCCUACGGGAGGCAGCAGUGGGGAAUUUUGGACAAUGGGCGAAAGCCUGAUCCAGCAAUGCCGCGUGCAGGAUGAAGGCCUUCGGGUUGUAAACCGCUUUUGGCAGGAACGAAACGGUGUCCGCUAAUACAGAGCGGUAAUGACGGUACCUGAAGAAUAAGCACCGGCUAACUACGUG
rnacentral:rRNA from 1 species